UGCCCAAUAGAAUAAUAACUAGCCCUAAAACUAAAAAUAGCUAUUUUCCAUUAACCUUUACAUUUUAUAAUAAGAAAAAAAGUAGAAAACAACCAAGAAACAUACCUCAACAAGCCAUAUCCAUACCACGUUAAAUGCUUUAGUGGUCAUGUUAUAACCAAAUAGAUUACAUGUGAUUUUACAAAUUAAGUUGACCAAAAGCAUAUAUCACAAUACCUUAUAAUAUUAGAAAGUUCAAUCAAGGAAGAUGAAGAGCCU
rnacentral:lncRNA from 1 species